UACUCGACAUCUGCGAUACACUCUACGUGUCCGAGCGAUAGCAUUCAGUAUCCCACCUUGGAAGUACGUUCGCAAGGAUGACACUCAAUGGAAUCGCGCGGGCGUCCGCACAACGCGCUGGAGUAUGUGGUUUAAUUCGACUGACACGCGAGGAACCUUACCUGGGCUAGAAUGCUGGGAGAUCGCUAGUGAAAGCUAGUUUUGUAGCAAUACACUGCCAGUAAGGUGCUGCAUGGCCGUCGUCAGCUCGUGCCGUGAGGUGUUGGGUUAAGUCCCGCAACGACGCGCAUACCCCUAUCUUUAGUUCGCCAACACGGUAAUCGCUGGGAACUCCUAAAGAAACUGCGCGCCGUAUCGGUGUGAGGAAGGAUGGGGAUGAUGUCAGGUCAUCAUGGCCUUUAUGCCCAGGGCUACCCACGUACUACAAUGUGGGGAGACAAAGGGCUGCAACAUAGCGAUAUGAAGCCAAUCCCAAAAACUCCCUCUCAGUUCAGAUUGCAGGCUGCAACUCGCCUGCAUGAAGCUGGAAUCGCUAGUAAUCGUAUAUCAGCAAUGAUACGGUGAAUACGUUCCCGGACAUUGCACUCACCGCCCGU
rnacentral:rRNA from 1 species